UACGUAGGGGGCGAGCGUUGUCCGGAAUUAUUGGGCGUAAAGCGCGCGCAGGCGGUCCUUUAAGUCUGAUGUGAAAGCCCACGGCUCAACCGUGGAGGGUCAUUGGAAACUGGGGGACUUGAGUGCAGGAGAGGAGAGCGGAAUUCCACGUGUAGCGGUGAAAUGCGUAGAGAUGUGGAGGAACACCAGUGGCGAAGGCGGCUCUCUGGCCUGUAACUGACGCUGAGGCGCGAAAGCGUGGGGAGCAAACAGGAUUAGAAACCCUUGUAGUCC
rnacentral:rRNA from 1 species